rnacentral:rRNA from 1 species
GAUGAACGCUGGCGGCGUGCCUAAUACAUGCAAGUCGAGCGAACAGAUAAGGAGCUUGCUCCUUUGACGUUAGCGGCGGACGGGUGAGUAACACGUGGGUAACCUACCUAUAAGACUGGGAUAACUUCGGGAAACCGGAGCUAAUACCGGAUAACAUUUGGAACCGCAUGGUUCUAAAGUGAAAGAUGGUUUUGCUAUCACUUAUAGAUGGACCCGCGCCGUAUUAGCUAGUUGGUAAGGUAACGGCUUACCAAGGCGACGAUACGUAGCCGACCUGAGAGGGUGAUCGGCCACACUGCAACUGAUACACGGUCCAGACUCCUACGGGAGGCAGCAGUAGGGAAUCUUCCGCAAUGGGCGAAAGCCUGACGGAGCAACGCCGCGUGAGUGAUGAAGGGUUUCGGCUCGUAAAACUCUGUUAUUAGGGAAGAACAAACGUGUAAGUAACUGUGCACGUCUUGACGGUACCUAAUCAGAAAGCCACGGCUAACUACGUG